UCAGUAGUGACUCCAAGGACAAAGUUUAGAUGUUCUUUCAACAUGCUGGUCUUGUUUUGCUGUUUGUUCAUUUGCUUCCUCUAAAUUUCAGAUUAGAGAGGGAGCAAGUUUCUUGUAAAGAAGCAUUACUUGCCAGGUGCAGUGGCCUCAAAAAAAAAAAAAAAAGAUAAUAAAAUAAAAAUGAACCAUUACCCAAUAAAUAGCACAGUAAAUACUUGUGCUGUUUACUCAGAUAAUGGAGCUGGUAGAAAAGGAGUUUUGGAGUGAGGAAAUCAAUAAUUGGUGUUUUAUUGUGCAAAAUUUGAUAAUCUCACAGGGUACUGUGAAGAUUCAGUGAGAUGAUGAUCAUGAAUACAAUUAAAAUAUAUAAAGAUAUAUAAACGCAAACCUAUUAUUUAAAUCUAAUGGUUCUAAAUCAUUCAGGAGAACUCCAUCCCCAUGAUCCAAUCAUCUCCCACCAGGCCCCUCAUUUUAUCCACGAAAAAUUAAAGAAUUUUUAACUUAUUGUAUUUCCUGCUUUAAUUGUAUCUGAUUCUGAUGGCUCCAUUAUUCUGUCUCCACUUUGUAUAAAUGUACACAUUCUGCAUUGCAGAGAAAUUAACUCAGACUCAGUUGGAAUUUGUGAUAAUUUGACUGAGACUGGAUGGGUUUAAAUUAACUUUCCUAUUAUCUAUGAAAAAAGAACUUUUGAAGAAAGUUAAUACUAUGAAAAUGGUUUCCUGAAGUUUAAUCUACCUAAGAAAAUAUAGCAAUUCUCAAGAACCUGGCAGCUACAAUUUGCAUAUAAAUGAUUAGUUCUCAAAUAUCUCAUAUGAAGUUAUCAAAGACGGUUCCAAAACCUUGUCAGCACUCAAAUAUUAGUUCAAGUUAGCCUAAAGAACUUACAAAAAUAAAAAUUAAAGAGCUCACCUAUAAUAACACAAGCUGUCCCCUUUCCCAAUUAUUUUCAAUUGGUAAAAGUGUUUUACAAAUUCACUUGUUCUCUACAUUGUUUGUUUUCAAGUCAUGUCUUGUGACCAUCUUUGCAAUUAGUGUAUGUAGCCUUUAGAAAGCAGGAGUUAGGUACUUUUAAAAAUUUUACUGAUACAUAACAAUUGUAUAUAUUUAAGGGGUACAUGUGAUUUUUUUUUUUUUUUGGUAGAGAUAGAGUUUCCCUAUGUUGCCCAGGCUGGUCUCAAAUUUCUAGCCUCAAGCAAUCCUCCUGCCUCAGGCUUCCAAAGUGCCAGGAUUACAGGCCAGAGUCACCAUCCCCAGCCCACAUGUGACAUUUUGAUGCACACAUACAAUGUAUAAUGAUUCAAUCUAGGUAACUGGAAUAUCCAUCAUCUCAAACAUUUAUCAUGUAUUUGUUAAGAACAUUCUCAUUUAUUAAGAACAGUCCAAAUCAUUUCUUAUGAGUGAUCUUGUUUGUUUUCACUUGUUUUAACCUAAGAAUUUGACUGAGAGACAAAGAUUCUAAUCAGGCUUUGCUUUUAAUGCAGUUAGAAUUCAGGCAUAUUAUUUUGUCCCUAAGCCUAUUUCCAGUAAAAAUAGAUAAAAUACCCAACUUACAUGCAGCGGUAGAAACAAAUGAUAUUAAGCAAAUGAAAGAAUUUAACACUGGACCUGGCAUAUUAGUAACAGCAUCAUGAGAGGAGUUUGCUUCUCUCCAUCCUUCCCUUGUACACUAUACAAGUCUCAGCAUCCACGUGCAAGAAAGAUGGUUGUACAGUGACUGACCCACAAGUGCCAGAUGCCUAUAUCUACCACCUGGUGGCUGGCUGUGUCUUCCCCGCUUCCCAGUUCAAGCCCUGUCCUGCCCCUUCUCUGUCCCAACCACGCCCUCUGGAAAGGACUCUCAAAGACUCAGAAGGGUCUUGGAGUCUUCGAGAAAGAACAAAUCAUAGGCUCUAGGACUAAAAUAUAAUGGCUAAAACAUAGUGAUACAAUCAUGGAGGAAUACCUGACAAAGCUCUU
rnacentral:lncRNA from 1 species